rnacentral:tRNA from 2 species
GGACGAUUAGCUCAGAGGCAGAGCAUCAGCUUCCCAAGCUGAGGGUCGCGGGUUCAAGUCCCGUAUCGUCCACGA